GGUACCUUUCUUGGCUGAUCCUUUUCGCGUUAUGGCGAGCUCGUUUGGGUUGGGCAUCGGCUAGAAGUGCUUGGAGUGCGGAUUAACUCCAGUCUCCUAUCAGACAACUUUGGAGGAGCAGCGAGGCUUGGAGUAUCGACUUGGAUAAGCUUGAAUCGUAUUAUUGGACCCUGUGAAGGACAUCGUAAGGGAUCUCAGUAGCAGUCGUCGCGAAACAGGUGAGCCCUAGAAUUGGUGGACUUGGAGCUGGGCGGGAUUCAGAGUGGCCAUGAAGAUUAAUUGCCGAUUUUAAAGAAGUUUAGCCUUUAAUUUGGGUUAUUUUUUUUUAUUUUU